GAUAUGUGAAUACAUAGCAUAUCAGAAGGCACACCCGGAGAACUGAAACAUCUUAGUACCCGGAGGAAGAGAAAGAAAAUUCGAUUCCCUUAGUAGCGGCGAGCGAAACGGGAAGAGCCCAAACCAACAAGCUUGCUUGUUGGGGUUGUAGGACACUCUAUACGGAGUUACAAAGGACGACAUUAGACGAAUCAUCUGGAAAGAUGAAUCAAAGAAGGUAAUAAUCCUGUAGUCGAAAAUGUUGUCUCUCUUGAGUGGAUCCUGAGUACGACGGAGCACGUGAAAUUCCGUCGGAAUCUGGGAGGACCAUCUCCUAAGGCUAAAUACUCUCUAGUGACCGAUAGUGAACCAGUACCGUGAGGGAAAGGUGAAAAGCACCCCGGAAGGGGAGUGAAAUAGAACCUGAAACCGUGUGCUUACAAGUAGUCAGAGCCCGUUAAUGGGUGAUGGCGUGCCUUUUGUAGAAUGAACCGGCGAGUUACGAUUUGAUGCAAGGUUAAGCAGUAAAUGUGGAGCCGUAGCGAAAGCGAGUCUGAAUAGGGCGUUUAGUAUUUGGUCGUAGACCCGAAACCAGGUGAUCU
rnacentral:rRNA from 1 species